UCGUGGAUGAAGUAGCUCGUGAAUUUGUUAUAGAUGCUAAUACAAAUAACUAACCAUGAAUAUAUCCACUUGUAUUAAAAAUGUUUAGUUCCUAUAUCAUUAGAGAAUUUAUGGUUGGUAAUAAGAAUUACAUUUCACAUGUCCUGCAGAAUUUGCUACCAAGGAUCAAUGAAUAAGUAUAAUCCUGACAAACAAACUUCACAGCUACCACAGAUCAAUCAAUAAGAACAGUCACGAGAACCAAACUCCAUAACAAUCAAAGCUCUUAACAAAAUCUUUCCCAAGUAUCAGAAUAAAAUUCCUAAUGCAGAAUCUGAUAACAGUAAUGUAUUAAGAUAGCUCAGAGAAUUACACCAGUCCAACACCACCUACACCUAAUGCUGAUACACAUAAAAUUUCAUAGUUUAGAUUGCAGAUACUCUUGGGACAUCAACCGGAAACUCGUGGAUCUCAUCCAUCCAAGGACUCUUCUCCUUUGCCGGAUUGAUGGUUUUGAGAGCUUUCCACACUGCGCUAUUACACUUGAAUCCAGAACCAAACGCUAUUUGCCAUGUUCUAUCCCCCUUCUUGAUCCUCCCUUUGGCUUCUGUGUAAGCCAAUUCAUACCAAAGUGAACUGCUAGAGGUGUUUCCGAAACGAUAAAGAGUCACCAGACAAUAUUGAGUUCUUGCAGCGAUAUGGGAGGUGUCAGGUAUAUACUCAAUCAAACAAUUUGAUGCUGAAAGCUUGUCUUGGGUUAUAAAUUUAUACAUUAGCUCUCUUGUGGUUAACUUAUAACUAUAUCAGUAUUGGAUGAUUUAUAUUUGCACUAAAUCUAGUUGAUGUUUUGAAGGUUAUGGGAUGUAAGGAGUGGCAAAAUAGUCCAGACACUGGAGACCAAGUUACCUGUGACAAGUGCUGAAGUGAGUCAGGAUGGACAUUAUAUUACAACAGUUGAUGGUUCCACUGUCAAGUUUUGGGAUGCAAAUCAGUAAGUACCAAGUCUAGUUAGUCAACUUCCUUACUAAGAUCUGCUCUUAUUUGUUCAUGAUUUUUACCUCGUUUCUCAGCUAUGGAUUGGUUAAGAGCUAUGAUAUGCCCUGCACCAUGGAAUCAGCUUCAUUGGAGCCGAAGUACAGGAACAAGUUCAUUGCUGCGGGAGAAGACAUGUGGAUUCAUGUUUUUGAUUUCCAUACAGGCAAUGAGAUUGGUGAGUUAUUAACAACUAAUUCUUCAAUUUUCUUCUGUUCUCUGUAUAAAAAUAUUUUGAUGAUAUAUCUGGAUGGCAGCAUGCAACAAGGGCCACCAUGGUCCUGUCCACUGUGUCCGUUUCUCUCCUGGAGGAGAAUCAUAUGCCUCGGGAUCUGAGGAUGGGACCAUCAGAAUAUGGCAGACACCGUUGUCUCAUGAUGCAGCAUCGGAGGCCUUAUCUGCAAAUGAAUCAAUUGAAAAGGGGAUGAAGAUAAGUGCAGACGAGGUUUCACACAAAAUCGAGAGUUUCCAUAUUGCAGAUGAGGGGAAAUCCAAAGAGAGUGAACAGGCUGGGGAGUAAUGGUGCUAAUAAUUAACAGCUCAUUUUGACUGGCAGGGUGUUAGAAUUACCAUGAUCAAGUGCUUGCUUAAAUACAUGGUUAGUAAACAAUUUUGUAAAUGUUAAUUGUUUAUUGGACACCACCUACCUAGCUACUGAACUGAACGAGCUUGUUCCAGCAUUUAGUUUUACUUUUGUUCCUUGAUUCCUUUCUACUGAGUUUUCAUUAUGCCUUACCACACUUUGUGAAUUUCACUAAGAUAUAACUUAGAUAAAUUGAAUAGAGAUUAUGAUUUAGUUGUAAUUAAUGUGGAGUAUGAACAAUAACUAGAAUAAAAAUAUAAUUUUGACUAUUGGCGAAAUGAAUUUUUGUAAUAAAAUAAAAUUUAAAAAAAAUAUGGAUCUUAGAUAAACAUAUUGGAGUAGUUUAUGCCUUCAUGGGAUUUAGCAAAUGACUUGGUAAGCUUGUUCAAGAGUCAUUAUUGUAGAAGCAGCUUGAAUGUAUGGAUGACCGUGCAAUUCGGCCAGUUUCGGCCUGCACAUAGCUACUUACUUAUAAUGUCACCGAAAAUAUACAUUAAAAACUAGUGGAGCAUUCAUUAUAAGUAUUCUUCAUAGAAGUCCACACCAUACUCAAUAUCCAACCUUUGAAGUGAUUAACCCAAUAGUGUUUACAUCUAAGCCAAACUGUAUUUUUUUGGUUUGAGUUUGUUAAAAAUCGAUUGGAUUAUAUUUCAAAUCCUUUAAUAAAACUAGUCUAUGAAAAUUGAAUCAGACAUGCUACAAUUAUUUUUUGUUACUAUAAUUUGUCUUAUUUAUUGUACAUGAUCGAUUAAUUUCAUUCUACUUUUUUAUAUCGGAUGGAACCUUAUACUUUAAUUUAACCAAGCUAAAUCAAACUACAAAUGAUUUUUAUAUUUGGAUCGGAUGACUUUCUAUCUUAAAAUUGAUGCAGACCAAAUUAAUUAACUCAAAAGGAGAAAUUGGAAGAAGAAGAAACUAUGUCCAUAAUUUAAAUUAAUCUGUCUGGUAAAUAGAUAUUGAUGUUUUUACGGCAAGAAUGGACAGCAUCCUAUUAGUUGUAAAUUGAUUUUUUUUUAAAUCUGAUGGCUACUUUUAUUUAGAUCUUUAUUUCCUAUUUGGAAGGGACUUUUUAUAUCAAUUUUCUUUUAGUAUUGGGAUUGUUGUUUCAUCAUUUUAUGUGUUUCACAGUUCCAUGUUAACAAAUGAAUCAUUAUAUGUCGUCCUGUAAUUAAAUUCCUUUCUGGUCGUUACUGGGAAGUGAUUAAGAUUAUUUAUCCAAGCCAUUGUUGCUUAUAUUUGCUCUAAGCUUUUUUUUCUACCUUAUUAUGAUGACCUUAAAUUUUAUACGCUCCAUUGUUGCAGCCGUCUGCAUGAAAAAAAAGCACUUUUGUGACAUGUUAAAAAAAUGUUCCUAGAUACUUCAGUGAGAUAAUUGUUUAAAAAAGAAUAUUUGUUUAAAAAGUUAGUUCAAUUCUACGUUCUCUGAGUUACAACAAAACACAUGAAAUAAUGCAAAUACAAAUAAGUUAUUAUGAUUCCUAAUAUAUAUUUUAAAUUACUCGUGGAUGAAGUAGCUCGUGAAUUUGUUAUAGAUGCUAAUACAAAUAACUAACCAUGAAUAUAUCCACUUGUAUUAAAAAUGUUUAGUUCCUAUAUCAUUAGAGAAUUUAUGGUUGGUAAUAAGAAUUACAUUUCACAUGUCCUGCAGAAUUUGCUACCAAGGAUCAAUGAAUAAGUAUAAUCCUGACAAACAAACUUCACAGCUACCACAGAUCAAUCAAUAAGAACAGUCACGAGAACCAAACUCCAUAACAAUCAAAGCUCUUAACAAAAUCUUUCCCAAGUAUCAGAAUAAAAUUCCUAAUGCAGAAUCUGAUAACAGUAAUGUAUUAAGAUAGCUCAGAGAAUUACACCAGUCCAACACCACCUACACCUAAUGCUGAUACACAUAAAAUUUCAUAGUUUAGAUUGCAGAUACUCUUGGGACAUCAACCGGAAACUCGUGGAUCUCAUCCAUCCAAGGACUCUUCUCCUUUGCCGGAUUGAUGGUUUUGAGAGCUUUCCACACUGCGCUAUUACACUUGAAUCCAGAACCAAACGCUAUUUGCCAUGUUCUAUCCCCCUUCUUGAUCCUCCCUUUGGCUUCUGUGUAAGCCAAUUCAUACCAAAGUGAACUGCUAGAGGUGUUUCCGAAACGAUAAAGAGUCAUCCUUGAUGGCUCCAUAUGCCAAGAAGAUAGCUGCAAGUUCUUCUCCAGUUCAUCCAAAACAGCUCUGCCUCC
rnacentral:lncRNA from 1 species